UGGGGAAUAUUGCACAAUGGGCGAAAGCCUGAUGCAGCAACGCCGCGUGAGUGAUGAAGGCCUUCGGGUUGUAAAGCUCUGUCUUCUGGGACGAUAAUGACGGUACCAGAGGAGGAAGCCACGGCUAACUACGUGCCAGCAGCCGCGGUAAUACGUAGGUGGCAAGCGUUGUCCGGAUUUACUGGGCGUAAAGGAUGCGUAGGCGGAUACUUAAGUCAGAUGUGAAAAUCCCGGGCUUAACUUGGGAACUGCAUUUGAAACUGGGGAUCUAGAGUGCGGGAGAGGAAAGUGGAAUUCCUAGUGUAGCGGUGAAAUGCGUAGAGAUUAGGAAGAACACCAGUGGCGAAGGCGACUUUCUGGACCGUAACUGGCGCUGAGGCAUGAAAGCGUGGGGAGCAAACA
rnacentral:rRNA from 1 species